UCGGGAAUUUUGGGCAAUGGGCGAAAGCCUGACCCAGCAACGCCGCGUGAGGGAUGAAGUAUUUCGGUAUGUAAACCUCGAAAGAAUGGGAAGAAUAAAUGACGGUACCAUUUAUAAGCUCCGGCUAACUACGUGCCAGCAGCCGCGGUAAUACGUAGGGAGCAAGCGUUGUUCGGAUUUACUGGGCGUAAAGGGCGCGUAGGCGGCGCGGUAAGUCACUUGUGAAAUCUCUGAGCUUAACUCAGAACGGCCAAGUGAUACUGCUGUGCUAGAGUGCGGCAGAGGCAACCUGAAUUCUUGGGGUAGCGGUGAAAGGCGUAGAUAUCAAGAGGAACACCUGAGGCGAAGGCGGGUUGCUGGGCCGACACUGACGCUGAUGCGCGAAAGCC
rnacentral:rRNA from 1 species